ACUAAGCGUACACGGUGGAUGCCCUGGCAGUCAGAGGCGAUGAAGGGCGUGCUAAUCUGCGAUAAGCGCCGGUAAGGUGAUAUGAACCGUUAUAACCGGCGAUACCCGAAUGGGGAAACCCAGUGUGACUCGUCACACUAUCAUUAACUGAAUCCAUAGGUUAAUGAGGCGAACCGGGGGAACUGAAACAUCUAAGUACCCCGAGGAAAAGAAAUCAACCGAGAUUCCCCCAGUAGCGGCGAGCGAACGGGGAGGAGCCCAGAGCCUGAAUCAGCAUGUGUGUUAGUGGAAGCGUCUGGAAAGGCGCGCGAUACAGGGUGACAGCCCCGUACACAAAAGCGCAUGUGCUGUGAGCUCGAUGAGUAGGGCGGGACACGUGGUAUCCUGUCUGAAUAUGGGGGGACCAUCCUCCAAGGCUAAAUACUCCUGACUGACCGAUAGUGAACCAGUACCGUGAGGGAAAGGCGAAAAGAACCCCGGCGAGGGGAGUGAAAAAGAACCUGAAACCGUGUACGUACAAGCAGUGGGAGCCCCACCACCAAAGCGUUUCGCUUUGUGUGGUGCACAAAGAAGCGUAACGACAGCACUGAAUGACGGUUAACGGAGCGCAAGCGACGUUCAACAUACAAAGUCAAGCAGUGGAGCGCUUUGGGGUGGGGUGACUGCGUACCUUUUGUAUAAUGGGUCAGCGACUUAUAUUCUGUAGCAAGGUUAACCGAAUAGGGGAGCCGGAGGGAAACCGAGUCUUAAUUGGGCGUUAAGUUGCAGGGUAUAGACCCGAAACCCGGUGAUCUAGCCAUGGGCAGGUUGAAGGUUGGGUAACACUAACUGGAGGACCGAACCGACUAAUGUUGAAAAAUUAGCGGAUGACCUGUGGCUGGGGGUGAAAGGCCAAUCAAACCGGGAGAUAGCUGGUUCUCCCCGAAAGCUAUUUAGGUAGCGCCUCGUGAAUUCAUCUCCGGGGGUAGAGCACUGUUUCGGCUAGGGGGCCAUCCCGGCUUACCAACCCGAUGCAAACUGCGAAUACCGGAGAAUGUUAUCACGGGAGACACACGGCGGGUGCUAACGUCCGUCGUGAAGAGGGAAACAACCCAGACCGCCAGCUAAGGUCCCAAAGUCAUGGUUAAGUGGGAAACGAUGUGGGAAGGCCCAGACAGCCAGGAUGUUGGCUUAGAAGCAGCCAUCAUUUAAAGAAAGCGUAAUAGCUCACUGGUCGAGUCGGCCUGCGCGGAAGAUGUAACGGGGCUAAACCAUGCACCGAAGCUGCGGCAGCGACGCUUAUGCGUUGUUGGGUAGGGGAGCGUUCUGUAAGCCUGUGAAGGUGGCCUGUGAGGGUUGCUGGAGGUAUCAGAAGUGCGAAUGCUGACAUAAGUAACGAUAAAGCGGGUGAAAAGCCCGCUCGCCGGAAGACCAAGGGUUCCUGUCCAACGUUAAUCGGGGCAGGGUGAGUCGACCCCUAAGGCGAGGCCGAAAGGCGUAGUCGAUGGGAAACGGGUUAAUAUUCCCGUACUUGGUGUUACUGCGAAGGGGGGACGGAGAAGGCUAUGUUGGCCGGGCGACGGUUGUCCCGGUUUAAGCGUGUAGGUGUGUGUUCCAGGUAAAUCCGGUUCACUUUAACACUGAGGCGUGACGACGAGGCACUACGGUGCUGAAGCAACAAAUGCCCUGCUUCCAGGAAAAGCCUCUAAGCAUCAGGUAACAUCAAAUCGUACCCCAAACCGACACAGGUGGUCAGGUAGAGAAUACCAAGGCGCUUGAGAGAACUCGGGUGAAGGAACUAGGCAAAAUGGUGCCGUAACUUCGGGAGAAGGCACGCUGACACGUAGGUGAAGUGAUUUACUCAUGGAGCUGAAGUCAGUCGAAGAUACCAGCUGGCUGCAACUGUUUAUUAAAAACACAGCACUGUGCAAACACGAAAGUGGACGUAUACGGUGUGACGCCUGCCCGGUGCCGGAAGGUUAAUUGAUGGGGUCAGCGCAAGCGAAGCUCCUGAUCGAAGCCCCGGUAAACGGCGGCCGUAACUAUAACGGUCCUAAGGUAGCGAAAUUCCUUGUCGGGUAAGUUCCGACCUGCACGAAUGGCGUAAUGAUGGCCAGGCUGUCUCCACCCGAGACUCAGUGAAAUUGAACUCGCUGUGAAGAUGCAGUGUACCCGCGGCAAGACGGAAAGACCCCGUGAACCUUUACUAUAGCUUGACACUGAACAUUGAGCCUUGAUGUGUAGGAUAGGUGGGAGGCUUUGAAGUGUGGACGCCAGUCUGCAUGGAGCCGACCUUGAAAUACCACCCUUUAAUGUUUGAUGUUCUAACGUGGACCCGUAAUCCGGGUUGCGGACAGUGUCUGGUGGGUAGUUUGACUGGGGCGGUCUCCUCCUAAAGAGUAACGGAGGAGCACGAAGGUUGGCUAAUCCUGGUCGGACAUCAGGAGGUUAGUGCAAUGGCAUAAGCCAGCUUGACUGCGAGCGUGACGGCGCGAGCAGGUGCGAAAGCAGGUCAUAGUGAUCCGGUGGUUCUGAAUGGAAGGGCCAUCGCUCAACGGAUAAAAGGUACUCCGGGGAUAACAGGCUGAUACCGCCCAAGAGUUCAUAUCGACGGCGGUGUUUGGCACCUCGAUGUCGGCUCAUCACAUCCUGGGGCUGAAGUAGGUCCCAAGGGUAUGGCUGUUCGCCAUUUAAAGUGGUACGCGAGCUGGGUUUAGAACGUCGUGAGACAGUUCGGUCCCUAUCUGCCGUGGGCGCUGGAGAACUGAGGGGGGCUGCUCCUAGUACGAGAGGACCGGAGUGGACGCAUCACUGGUGUUCGGGUUGUCAUGCCAAUGGCACUGCCCGGUAGCUAAAUGCGGAAGAGAUAAGUGCUGAAAGCAUCUAAGUACGAAACUUGCCCCGAGAUGAGUUCUCCCUGAGACUUAGAGUCUCCUGAAGGAACGUUGAAGACGACGACGUUGAUAGGCCGGGUGUGUAAGCGCAGCGAUGCGUUGAGCUAACCGGUACUAAUGAACCGUGAGGCUUAACC
rnacentral:rRNA from 1 species